rnacentral:rRNA from 1 species
UACAGAGGUCUCAAGCGUUGUUCGGAUUCAUUGGGCGUAAAGGGUGCGUAGGCGGCGCGGUAAGUCGGGUGUGAAAUCUUGGAGCUUAACUCCGAAACUGCAUUCGAUACUGCCGUGCUUGAGGACUGGAGAGGAGACUGGAAUUUACGGUGUAGCGGUGAAAUGCGUAGAUAUCGUAAGGAAGACCAGUGGCGAAGGCGGGUCUCUGGACAGUUCCUGACGCUGAGACACGAAAGCCAGGGGAGCGAACGGG